rnacentral:rRNA from 1 species
ACGCUCGACACCUAGGGAGACAGCAGUGGGGAAUAUUGCACAAUGGGGGAAACCCUGAUGCAGCAACGCCGCGUGAGUGAAGAAGUAUUUCGGUAUGUAAAGCUCUAUCAGCAGGGAAGAUAAUGACGGUACCUGACUAAGAAGCUCCGGCUAAAUACGUGCCGGCAGCCGCGGUAAUCUGAGCGGGCUGGCAAGGC